rnacentral:rRNA from 1 species
CCUACGGGAGGCAGCAGUGGGGGAUAUUGGACAAUGGGGGAAACCCUGAUCCAGCGACGCCGCGUGAGUGAAGAAGUAUUUCGGUAUGUAAAGCUCUGUCAGCAGGGAAGAAAGAAAUGACGGUACCUGACCAAGAAGCCCCGGCUAACUACGUGCCAGCAGCCGCGGUAAUACGUAGGGGGCAAGCGUUAUCCGGAUUUACUGGGUGUAAAGGGAGCGUAGACGGCAGCGCAAGUCUGGAGUGAAAUGCCGGGGCCCAACCCCGGAACUGCUCUGGAAACUGUGAAGCUGGAGUGCAGGAGAGGUAAGCGGAAUGCCUGGUGUAGCGGUGAAAUGCGUAGAUAUCAGGAGGAACACCGGCGGCGAAGGCGGCUUACUGGACUGUAACUGACGUUGAGGCUCGAAGGCGUGGGGAGCAAACAGGAUUAGAUACCCUAGUAGUC